rnacentral:rRNA from 1 species
GGGGAAUAUUGGGCAAUGGGGGCAACCCUGACCCAGCAACGCCGCGUGAAGGAAGAAGGCCUUCGGGUUGUAAACUUCUUUGACCAGGGACGAAGGAAGUGACGGUACCUGGAAAACAAGCCACGGCUAACUACGUGCCAGCAGCCGCGGUAAUACGUAGGUGGCGAGCGUUGUCCGGAUUUACUGGGUGUAAAGGGCGCGUAGGCGGGGAUGCAAGUCAGAUGUGAAAUCUGAGGGCUUAACCCUCAAACUGCAUUUGAAACUGUAUCUCUUGAGUGAUGGAGAGGCAGGCGGAAUUCCUAGUGUAGCGGUGAAAUGCGUAGAUAUUAGGAGGAACACCAGUGGCGAAGGCGGCCUGCUGGACAUUAACUGACGCUGAGGCGCGAAAGCGUGGGGAGCAAAC